AACCGAGUCUUAAUUGGGCGUUAAGUUGCAGGGUAUAGACCCGAAACCCGGUGAUCUAGCCAUGGGCAGGUUGAAGGUUGGGUAACACUAACUGGAGGACCGAACCGACUAAUGUUGAAAAAUUAGCGGAUGACCUGUGGCUGGGGGUGAAAGGCCAAUCAAACCGGGAGAUAGCUGGUUCUCCCCGAAAGCUAUUUAGGUAGCGCCUCGUGAAUUCAUCUCCGGGGGUAGAGCACUGUUUCGGCUAGGGGGCCAUCCCGGCUUACCAACCCGAUGCAAACUGCGAAUACCGGAGAAUGUUAUCACGGGAGACACACGGCGGGUGCUAACGUCCGUCGUGAAGAGGGAAACAACCCAGACCGCCAGCUAAGGUCCCAAAGUCAUGGUUAAGUGGGAAACGAUGUGGGAAGGCCCAGACAGCCAGGAUGUUGGCUUAGAAGCAGCCAUCAUUUAAAGAAAGCGUAAUAGCUCACUGGUCGAGUCGGCCUGCGCGGAAGAUGUAACGGGGCUAAACCAUGCACCGAAGCUGCGGCAGCGACGCUUAUGCGUUGUUGGGUAGGGGAGCGUUCUGUAAGCCUGCGAAGGUGGCCUGUGAGGGUUGCUGGAGGUAUCAGAAGUGCGAAUGCUGACAUAAGUAACGAUAAAGCGGGUGAAAAGCCCGCUCGCCGGAAGACCAAGGGUUCCUGUCCAACGUUAAUCGGGGCAGGGUGAGUCGACCCCUAAGGCGAGGCCGAAAGGCGUAGUCGAUGGGAAACGGGUUAAUAUUCCCGUACUUGGUGUUACUGCGAAGGGGGGACGGAGAAGGCUAUGUUGGCCGGGCGACGGUUGUCCCGGUUUAAGCGUGUAGGCUGGUUUUCCAGGCAAAUCCGGAAAAUCAAGGCUGAGGCGUGAUGACGAGGCACUACGGUGCUGAAGCAACAAAUGCCCUGCUUCCAGGAAAAGCCUCUAAGCAUCAGGUAACAUCAAAUCGUACCCCAAACCGACACAGGUGGUCAGGUAGAGAAUACCAAGGCGCUUGAGAGAACUCGGGUGAAGGAACUAGGCAAAAUGGUGCCGUAACUUCGGGAGAAGGCACGCUGACACGUAGGUGAAGUGAUUUACUCACGGAGCUGAAGUCAGUCGAAGAUACCAGCUGGCUGCAACUGUUUAUUAAAAACACAGCACUGUGCAAACACGAAAGUGGACGUAUACGGUGUGACGCCUGCCCGGUGCCGGAAGGUUAAUUGAUGGGGUCAGCGCAAGCGAAGCUCCUGAUCGAAGCCCCGGUAAACGGCGGCCGUAACUAUAACGGUCCUAAGGUAGCGAAAUUCCUUGUCGGGUAAGUUCCGACCUGCACGAAUGGCGUAAUGAUGGCCAGGCUGUCUCCACCCGAGACUCAGUGAAAUUGAACUCGCUGUGAAGAUGCAGUGUACCCGCGGCAAGACGGAAAGACCCCGUGAACCUUUACUAUAGCUUGACACUGAACAUUGAGCCUUGAUGUGUAGGAUAGGUGGGAGGCUUUGAAGUGUGGACGCCAGUCUGCAUGGAGCCGACCUUGAAAUACCACCCUUUAAUGUUUGAUGUUCUAACGUGGACCCGUUACCCGGGUUGCGGACAGUGUCUGGUGGGUAGUUUGACUGGGGCGGUCUCCUCCUAAAGAGUAACGGAGGAGCACGAAGGUUGGCUAAUCCUGGUCGGACAUCAGGAGGUUAGUGCAAUGGCAUAAGCCAGCUUGACUGCGAGCGUGACGGCGCGAGCAGGUGCGAAAGCAGGUCAUAGUGAUCCGGUGGUUCUGAAUGGAAGGGCCAUCGCUCAACGGAUAAAAGGUACUCCGGGGAUAACAGGCUGAUACCGCCCAAGAGUUCAUAUCGACGGCGGUGUUUGGCACCUCGAUGUCGGCUCAUCACAUCCUGGGGCUGAAGUAGGUCCCAAGGGUAUGGCUGUUCGCCAUUUAAAGUGGUACGCGAGCUGGGUUUAGAACGUCGUGAGACAGUUCGGUCCCUAUCUGCCGUGGGCGCUGGAGAACUGAGGGGGGCUGCUCCUAGUACGAGAGGACCGGAGUGGACGCAUCACUGGUGUUCGGGUUGUCAUGCCAAUGGCACUGCCCGGUAGCUAAAUGCGGAAGAGAUAAGUGCUGAAAGCAUCUAAGCACGAAACUUGCCCCGAG
rnacentral:rRNA from 1 species